rnacentral:rRNA from 1 species
AUGAGUGUGGUCAGACUACCUGCCUCAGUGUGUGAUGAUCUAACCAAGAUGAUGCGGCAGUAUUGGUGGGGGGAAAAUGCCAAGAGGAAGAUGGCAUGGCUAAGCUGGGAGAGGAUGAUGCUACCCACGGACAUGGGGGGCAUGGGAUUCCGAGACAUGAGGGCUUUUAAUCAGGCUUUGCUUGCCAAGUAGGCCUGGCGCCUACUGGAUAGCCCAGAUAGCUUAUGUGCGAGGUUAUUGAAGGCUAAAUAUUACCCGAGGGGAAACCUGCUGGACACGGUUUUUUCUUCAAACUGUUCGGCGGUGUGGAAAGGUGUUGUUCAUAGACUUGAGCUUGUGAAGAAAGGCAUUAUAUGGCGAGUUGGCAAUGGCACAAUGAUAAAGACUAGGGAUCCUUGGAUCCCCCAUGGACACAAUCUCAGACCAGUCACACGUAAGAGGAAUUGUCGUUACAAUUGGGUGGCUGAUUUUUUGAACGAGCAUGGUGCAUGGAAUGUGGAACGGCUUCGGGAGCAUUUUUGGGACAUGGAUGUAAGGGAGAUUUUGAAGAUCCGCACAUCCCCAAGGAAUGGGCAGGACUUCGUCGCUUGGUUCCCGGAGCGGUCUGGGCAGUUCACUGUCCGUAGCGCAUAUCACCUAGCUAUGGAGGUCCAGUACUCAAUGCGACUCAUCUCGUCAAGUAACAAUUCUUCAGGUCGGAGGCCCAUUUGGCAGCGGAUCUGGAGCUCUCAAGUUCCUCUGAAGAUGAGAAUUAUGGCGUGGAAGGCUGUCUCCGGGGCUCUCGCUACAAAUGAGUGCAAGAAAUACCGACACAUCUCUACUAGAGAUGGUUGUCCGGUGUGCGGCCGAGAGAAGGAGACUAGCUUUCAUGCUCUUGUAUCCUACGAGCAUGCGAGGAGGAUUUGGGCUCAGAUGAGAACAGUUUGGCGACUCCCUAGCCAAGAUGUGCUUCAUGAUACAGGGAAGGAGUGGCUCUUAAACGUCCUAGCAAACUGCGAUGAUCACAUGCGGGAUUGCACGAUUAUGUUGAUAUAG